AACGAACGCUGGCGGCAGGCCUAACACAUGCAAGUCGAGCGGACCUUUCGGGGUGAGCGGCGGACGGGUGAGUAACGCGUGGGAAUAUGCCCUUCUCUACGGAAUAGUCCUGGGAAACUGGGGGUAAUACCGUAUACGCCCUUUGGGGGAAAGAUUUAUCGGGGAAGGAUUAGCCCGCGUUGGAUUAGGUAGUUGGUGGGGUAAUGGCCUACCAAGCCGACGAUCCAUAGCUGGUUUGAGAGGAUGAUCAGCCACACUGGGACUGAGACACGGCCCAGACUCCUACGGGAGGCAGCAGUGGGGAAUCUUAGACAAUGGGGGCAACCCUGAUCGAGCCAUGCCGCGUGAGUGAUGAAGGCCUUAGGGUUGUAAAGCUCUUUAAGCUGGGAAGAUAAUGACGGUACCAGCAGAAGAAGCCCCGGCUAACUCCGUG
rnacentral:rRNA from 1 species